CGACGUAGGUAACCUGCUGUAGCGGGGGAGUAACUAUUGGAAACGAUAGCUAAUACCGCAUAACAAAUGGAUGACACAUGUCAUUUAUUUGAAAGGGGGCAAUUGCUCCACUACAAGAUGGACCUGCGUUGUAUUAGCUAGUAGGUGAGGUAACGGCUCACCUAGGCGACGAUACAUAGCCGACCUGAGAGGGUGAUCGGCCACACUGGGACUGAGACACGGCCCAG
rnacentral:rRNA from 1 species